rnacentral:lncRNA from 1 species
AGUGUGUGAAGCAAUCCUAAGAGAAUGAUAACUUGGGAAACUGCUCUGCUUGGCUGUCCUACAAUUGCAUUCAGGAUAAGAAGAAGACUACAGUGAGGGCAGGCAGAUCUCUGAAGCACCAGGUGUGUAUCCUUUCUCCUCAAACUACUUGCCAGAUCAAACACUGCACAGAAUUUUCCCCACCAAUUGAUCUACAUUGGAUUAUUCCUGUCUGAUUUAGGGAUGCAGGAAGAGCUGCUGGUUUGUUCUAUUUGUCUAGUUUUAGGAGGGUUUUAAAAAUAAUUAAUUAACUAAAAACAUUUAAAGACAAACGAGAGAGAGAGAGAGACAUUGCACAUACUUUUGUAAACCAAGAAAAUCUUUAGUAAAGAUACAUUAAAAAGAAACAUUUAAAGACCACUUGAUUGUAAUAGAAUCUCUGUAAACAAAACAUGAAAAUUACCAAAAACUGACAGUUAAAAACAAGUAUGGAAUAUAAUUUAAAUCAGCAGUAAACUAAAAAGAUAUUAAAUAAAACACAUUCCAUUUCUACAUGUCUAGAUAGGCUAGCCUAAGCAAAAACACCUUUAGCAGGUGCCGAAUAUAGUACUUUUUUGUUAUUUUUAUUUUCCAGUGCUUGCCAGUUUUUGUAGGUCAAUGCCAAUAAAGAUUUGAAUAAAAAUAACUAUUUUGAGCAUCAUUUCUGAAAAUGGCCUCUCUUCAUAGUUGUUUUUUAAAAAAACAACAACCAACAAUAACAAAUAGCUUGUGUCUACUUCAGUUUCAUACUUUCCAAAUUUCUCAGUUAAAAAAGGGUUUCCUAUUCAGUAAGACAAUAGUUACUUUAGUGUGAGUGAAUAUAUAUGUAUAAGUAAGCACACACACACACACACACUUUUAUGGGGCCUGGAUACAUUCAUGUCCUGUUAACAUAGCAUGGAAACAUUCCUUUCAUUCAUGUUGCCUUUAGUUUCAUUCAUGUUGCCUUAUCUAGCUAUGAACUCAAGAGAUGGCCCUAGACAAGUUCUGUCUCUCGACCCUAGCACCUUGGAAUGUAUACAAGUUAAUGAUAAGGUUGGGCUUGAUUGUGUCCAUAAAGAAGAUAAUUAUUUAGAGAGACAGAGUCAUCUCAGGCUGAUUUGGAGUUGAUGGUCCAACUUCCUUGGCCUGAGCACAAAUUAUCUAUUCAGUUAACUGUCAGAGAAUUCCUCAUCUGAAAAUUAAGAUUACAGGAUUUCUUUGUAUUACAGCCUUAUUCCUGACACGAUGAACCAUGAUUGAUCCUGAGAUUGAUCACUGCCAUUGUGUGAGUAUGUUUUAACAUGCAGCCUGAAAAGAAGAGGAGUUCUGAAGCAUGUGGACUACCUCUACUCAUUGGCAGAGUUUGCUUGGAAAUGUUUUGCUUUGCUGAUGGCAGUAAGCCCUUGUGACUUCCAGCAACCUGCCUAGCAUAUCAGUUUGUAUAGAAUGCUAAACCAUGGCUUACUAAACUAUGGUUUAUUAAACCAUGGUUUAGCUGCAUUAUGUGUCAACCCAGCCCAUAACUAUGGUUUAUUUACUAUGGUUAAAUGUUCUAGCUAGUUUAAAAAUCUUAGCUAAUGUUAACCAUAGCUUAGUGUUACAUGUGAACCUGGAUACCCUCCUUAGCUAUGGUUAAAGUGCCAUCGCCCA